GGGACCAAGGCAAUGUCUCCGAAAAUGUUCUCUACAAGGCUUCCAUUAAGGUCGUUGACGUUCUCACCGCCAUGGCCGUCCCCCGGAAGACAUUCUGGAAACCCUAGGAGACUUCACGAGCAAAGAGAACUAGGACAAGUUCUUCACCCUCCGCGGCGAUUCCUUCGAGUGGUAUGCCGAAUGGCCCAACCUCAGGGACCCACUCCUUUCCCUCCUCAAACCCGCUCCUCUCCCGCUUUAGCUCCUCAUCCCAGGCUGCGGCAACUCCCGCCUCUCCAAGCACCUCUACGAUGUCGGCCACACCACCAUCACCAACAUUGACUUCUCCAAGAUCGUCAUCUCCGAUAUGCUCCGCCGCGACGUUCACGACUGUUCCCUCAUGUGAUGGCGCAUCAUGGACAUGACCACCAUGCAGUUCAAGGAUGAGAGCUUCGGUGCGUUUAUUGACAAAGGUGGACUGGAUGCUUUGAUGGAUCCCGAACUUGGCCCCAAAUUGGGGAACCUGUACUUAUCAGAGGUGAAGAGACUUUUAAAGCCUGCGGGCAAGUUUGUGUGCCUUACCUUGGCUAAAUCUCAUGUACUAAGUAAGUUUCCUUAAUUUUGUUUCACCAUGAAUAAUAAGUGAAAAACAUGUGAUACGUAGAGAAUACAAUUGAAAGCACUAAGAAGGUGUGAUGGUGUUUCAAUUGCAGACGUUUUGUUUUCCUUUACUCUUACUGAUAUGUGGUACCCACAUUUUAGACUUUCCUUUGCGUAUUAGCCAUAAGAAAAGAAUACUUGAAUGUGAAUGAUUCUUGGAAGAGGGUUUGCACAAAUCCCUUCCUAUCUCCUUGACAUCUUGCUAAAAAAGAAACAUGCUACCAAGAAGCUAUCCUGUGUUACCUUUAAAGUUAAUUGUAGUGCACUUGGAUGGGGCGCUUUGUUACUCUGGAUUGCAAUGAAAUGAUUUUCUAGAACUGUUUUUGCAUUUUAUCUUUUUCAUUUUUUGACAUGCUUGGUUUGGUAUCACUGGAGGAUAAAUAUCGCUAAUUCAUAAUUUCCAUAUCUACUUUUCUCAAAGUUCCGACUUGGGUGGAAAAUGAGUGUUGAUGCCAUACCUUUAAAGUCUUUUGGUAAACCUAGCCUUCAAACAUUUAUGGUAGUUGUGGAGAAUGAGCUAUCUAGUUUUGUCUUCCGGUGAACUUGUCCCAUUAAGGAAUACUUUUAAUGAUUAAUUGCUAGUUGAGGUUGUGUUUCUCUGAAUGAUGAGGCAUGAGCCAUGGAUUGGUGAAUGUUGUUUAGUGUUUAGGUCAUUUGCACUGGACUUUAUUGGUGACUCUAGUGAAAUUGAGAGAGGAGUUGAAUGAUUAUUGUUGUUUUUCUAAACUGGAAAUAAUCAGUGUCUUUGGAAUAGAUAGUUAUUAAGACUGAUUCUUUUUAUUUCGUUGAAACUUAAAGAUUAGUGGGAUGGAAUGAAAUGGAAUAAAAUUACCAUGUAUCUAGAGUCCUGAUAUAAUCCACUCUUACUCCUCGAGUACUCCAUGCACUAGCUUUGUAUGGUUGAUAUUUAUUAUACACAUCUUUAGAUUCAUUUGUUACAUUUGAUAACAUCUAUUUUAUAUUUAAAUCUUGGUUUUAUAUAGUCAGAACUUUGCUAACUUCCAAUAGCAAGGAAUAUUAGUAUAGAUUAAGAUUAAGAAUUCUGAGUAAUAACCUAACUAAUCUUUUUGAUAAUUGCGGUGAAAAUGUUGGGCUACUUGGUCUGACGCAUAUAGGGAGCCGAAGAGUAGUGCAAAUAUCAUGUGGUUUUAUGAUCUUCUUCUCUAUUUUUGGGAAAUUUGAAGCUUUUUUUGCAUCAAUUCCUCUACCGAUAUUUGCUGCCAUCUAUUGUUUUAUUUGGUAUUGUGGGUAGGUGUUGCUGCUAUUAUUACAUAGAUUACAAUAAUUUUGACCAAUAGAUGCAAGCCUUUUUAUUUUGUUGUUGAUUUUUUUGCAGCUGCUACUAGGAUUUCUUUUAUACAAUUUGCAAAUACCAAUUCCAUAAGAAAUAUAUAUGUUCUGGGCCUAACCUUGUUCCUUGUGAUAUCAAUACCACAAUAUUUUGUCAUGAACACCGCACCAGAUGGUCAUGGUCCAGUUAGAAUAUAUGACUGUGUCAUUUCCAUCAUCCUGUUUCGAGCGAUUGAGGAAAGGACUUACUAGUUUACUUCUCAUUUGGAUUAGUAGGAGCAAUGUUUGUGAGUUAAUAUUUAGCCAGAGAUGAUCAUAGUUGGGAAUCUAAGCAUUUAUUGAAUUUUGACAUGAACAUCAUAGGUUUAUACAAAUCUUCCUUCCACCAAAAUAGAUAGAAA